AUUGAACGCUGGCGGCAGGCCUAAUACAUGCAAGUCGAGCGAGCGGCGGACGGGUGAGUAAGGUCUGGGAAACUGCCUGAUGGAGGGGGAUAACUACGGGAAAAGGUAGCUAAUACCGCAUACCAUCAGAUGUGCCCAGAUGCGAUUAGCUAGUAGGUGGGUGGACGGCUCACCUAGGCGACGAUCCCUAGCUGGUCUGAGAGGAUGACACGCCCCACUGGAACUGAGCCACGGUCCAGACGCCGACGGGAGGCGGCAGUGUGGAAUAUUGGGCAAUGGGCGCAAGCCUGAUGCAGCCAUGCCGCGUGUGUGAAGAAGGCCUUCGGGUUGUAAAGCACUUUCGGCGGAGAGGCGUUAUCCGCAGAAGAAGCACCGGCUAACUCCGUGCCAGCAGCCGCGGUAAUUC
rnacentral:rRNA from 1 species